CCACUCAGCGAUGAUGAGAUCGCCACCUACGUCCUCACAAGGCUCAACAAUGACUAUGAUCCGCCGGUUACAUCUCUAACCACGGGGGUUGAGCUGGUCUCACUUAACGAGGUGCAUGCUCACUUUAUGGCAUUUGAGA